ACCUUUUCCUCAUUCCUUGCUAUAAUAUCCUCAAAAGUGUACUUAUUUCUGAUGAAAAAUUGGUCAAGGCUUUGAAGCGCUCAAACGGGAUUGUUGUUUCCUCAUUGCCUGAGAAUUUGUCAGUUAAUUCAUUAAUCCUAAGAGAAAAUGGAGUGCCUCAAUCUAUCAUCUCUUAUUUGUUGAUCUAUAAACCUUCCGUGGCAUGCAUGAAUCCUGCCAAAUUUAGGCAACUUGUUAACAAGGUUAUUGAUAUUGGAUUUGACCCUCUGAAGUCUACAUUUGCACAUGCACAGGC
rnacentral:misc_RNA from 1 species